rnacentral:rRNA from 1 species
UACGGGGGGGGCAAGCGUUGUUCGGAAUUACUGGGCGUAAAGGGCUCGUAGGUGGCCAACUAAGUCAGACGUGAAAUCCCUCGGCUUAACCGGGGAACUGCGUCUGAUACUGGAUGGCUAGAGUUUGGGUGAGGGAUGCGGAAUUCCAGGUGUAGCGGUGAAAUGCGUAGAUAUCUGGAGGAACACCGGUGGCGAAGGCGGCAUCCUGGACCAACACUGACGCUGAGGAGCGAAAGCCAGGGGAGCAAACGGG